CUGAAGUCAAAGAGUCUCCACCUACAAACACUUGCGUUCCAAAACAGGAGGUCUGUGUGCAGUCAGGAGGCUGAUCACAUCCACGAUGAGAGGACUCACACUGCUCUGUUUGGUGGGAUUUAUUCUCACAGCGUCGCUGCAUGAAGGAGGCGCAGCACCACCAUUUUAGAAAGCUGGCAACUGGCAUCCUCUUGAAAACCCUGCCGCUUUUCCAACUGCUCCACCUCAUGUCUAAACGCUCACUGGAGGCUGAUUACAAAAUGAGAGGACUCACACUGCUCUGUUUGGUGGGAUUCAUUCUCACAGCUUCGCUGCAUGAAGGAAGCACAGCACCAGCAAAGAAUAAUGUCCGUAAUGAACGCAACUCAAAAAAGACCAUAAUCUCAGUGUUGUGCCAUGGGUGCUGGAAUAGCUUUGAAGGUACACGUGAUGGAACAGAAUCAGCUGGGGGAAAUGACACACAGACUGUUCCUCAGAACAUUUCAGUGGAAGCAAAGAACAAGACCUUGCAUCUUCAUCCAAAUAAUGCUACUCAUGCUGGAAAUGCCACAGAGGUGGUUCAUCACAACAAUACAGCUGCAGCAAAACUGAUAGAAGACCCGUGAUGCUAAAAAUGUGGAAACAUGAAUCUUCACAGAGACAGACGACCGUGAUUCUGCUGGUGUUACUGUCUACUCUGAAUAAACACUAAAAUGAUGUUUUGAGAAAAA